ACCAGACUCCUACGGGAGGCAGCAGUGGGGGAUAUUGCACAAUGGGGGGAACCCUGAUGCAGCGACGCCGCGUGGGUGAAGAAGCGCCUCGGCGCGUAAAGCCCUGUCAGCAGGGAAGAAAAUGACGGUACCUGAAGAAGAAGCCCCGGCUAACUACGUGCCAGCAUCCGCGGUAAUACGUAGGGGGCAAGCGUUAUCCGGAUUUACUGGGUGUAAAGGGGGCGCAGACGGCGAUGCAAGCCAGGAGUGAAAGCCCGGGGCCCAACCCCGGGACUGCUCUUGGAACUGCGUGGCUGGAGUGCAGGAGGGGCAGGCGGAAUUCCUGGUGUAGCGGUGAAAUGCGUAGAUAUCAGGAGGAACACCGGUGGCGAAGGCGGCCUGCUGGACUGUAACUGACGUUGAGGCUCGAAAGCGUGGGGAGCAAACAGGAUUAGAUACCCCCGUAG
rnacentral:rRNA from 1 species